GGUUUGUAAGCGUAGAAAGGUACAGCAGUCCGCCAUUACGAGACGAAACUAGAAAACGUUACGUAAGAGAGACGAGAACAGCUGCCACAGAGUGUGGGAGUUUUUCUGUGUCUGGACAUGAGAUGAUGACGAGGGAAUGUGAUCAAGAGCUGAGAUAAUGAGAUAUACAGAAACCUGGAAGGUGUUCACUCGGAUGCUGUGCCGGGAUGCCUGAAGACUGUGCCGUAGUUCCGGUUGCAGGUAAGGAUUCAAGAUUAUCUGCAUCAUCCACAGUUGUGCACAACAGUCUUCAGAUGCAAAAUUUGCAGCUGUAGCUGUAUCUGAUGUAAUGAGGCAGAGUGGGAUAGAUAUUGUAGGAGUUUUCUAAUCCUGGAGCCUGCCUAAAUUGUUGCAUCAUGGCACCUCUGUUACAAAGAGCUAUCAGUUAAUGUCUUUUUAUUGUGAGAAGAAUGUGAAGCAAAUACUCUACAGGGAAAGUGCAAGAGACAUUAGAUAAUCCAUUAGGAGGUACAAAUACAAGUAGUAACCACUGCAUUGUAAAGAGUUUAACAUACAUUCUGUGACACAAUGCAGUUAAUUUUUGAAGUAAAAAAGUGAGCCCUCCAGUUCCAUGAGAGAGUUGUCAUGGUACAGUAAAAUUGUGUUAUCAUUGCAUACAGAAGACAACAUAUGUUAAGGGAGCAGUGAAUUAGGUACUUUUACUCAUAACUUUUAACGUAUUGAGUAAUUUGUAAAUUUUAAAGAAAGAAGAGACAUUAUUAGCUUGAAUGUAUCAUUACACCUUCCAAGGUAGGAACAUGAAGGGAAUUAUGUACUUAAGCUUGUUUCUUUUUAUCACAGGUAAUACAGUGUAUAGAAUUUGCAUAUGUCCUUUUCAUUUUUCUUUAUGUGUGCUGGUGAAGAUCACAGUCUUCCAGGAUGUGAUUCCAUGUAGUUUGCAAUGAAAGGACCAACAUUUCAGAUGAACCUGGUGUGUCUAUUUUCCCUUUGUACACUUAAGAUUUAGGCAACAAGAGUAUACCAGACAACAUGGUGUCACAUUCCACAAGACUAAUUUUUAUAUUCACAGCAAUGAGAGCCUCAAAUUCUCAAUAUUUUUUGAGAGCAUAUUACAGUGUAACAUGUUCUGUCUACUGAAGACUUUUCCAGAUUGUUAAUCGGUUUUAUUAACAACCUAUAAGUCUUAAUUACAAUUAAUUAUAAUACUGUUGUGGGUUUACACAAUUUACAAACCCUAAACACUAAUCUCUUCACAUUAUCUUCAGCAGUCUUCACUUAUUUACAGUAUAACACGGGAGCUAUACAAGUGUGACUGAAUUACACGCUCCAAAUACCUUCUCAGCUAUUACAAACUAUCACUGAUUAUCACACAUAAAAUCUUAUAAUCACGCGUUCAGUUCUUCCCGUGACUGACUGACUGACUUCUGUUCUGCUGAAUACUAACUGCUCCUUAGUCGAGUUAAAACCACAUUGCGUUUACAGAGGCGUUGCUUCAUAAUGCUGCCAAGAGUUUUUUUAUUGCUGCAUAGUGAUCAGUGUGGUUCAGCAUGGCAUGGAGAAACCACUUUAUUUCCUGUUGCGUAACUUGGCAACCGUCUGUUUUGAUGGAAACUCUUCCCACAUCAUGUUGCGCAACAAUGGUUUGACGUGUCACAAUAUCUUGUACCGUAAUGACUGUUAGAGACAGUUAACAGGAACCCUUUUCUCACUUACUUUAAGAUUUGAUUGCUUUUCUCAGUUCAAGGAACAUAAAUGUAUUAAUUUUUAUGAAAAUACAAUUCCUUCUCCCUCUCUCUAACAUUUAACAAGAAAUUAACCACAUAUAUAACCUGUUAAACUGACUGCCAUGAAAUGCAUGUAUUUCGGUCUUAAUCUAUAUAAAAUCCUUUGACUGUUGUGCUAAAUUCUGAGGCAAGGUACAAUGUUCUUUAGUCUCCUCAUUUUUGUGACAUCCUGAAAGAGCAGCCAGUUAAUGUCUUACUGACACACAUGUACACUCCCCUCCCCACAGUAUUAAUCCCAGAUUUUAUAUGGUAAAUGAAGUUAACUCAUAUGAAUAUGUAUGUGAGUUUUGAAUGAUCACUCAAAAUCUAAAUACGUGUAUACAAGAAAAAUUAUAAUCAGAAUAUCUAAAUUGUAUGUAAAACUGUUACUGUAUUUGUGAGAUUUGAGGCUCUAACAGAAGUGACUGUAAACCCUGUGUGUAAUCUACUAUGUCUUUACCUGCAUUUUGGAAGAAGACUGCAGUCUUGAAAAUAAUUUUAUAUGUAACACUAUGGGGAGCACGUGGUUGCAUAGUUGGUUGAGGGGCUAUGCUACAAGCCAGAAGGUCGCGGGUUCAAAUCCCAAG